ACACCCAAAUGUGAAUAAAUACCCUCAGUAAGCUGAGUAUGAUAAAUAGCAUGCCCCCGGAGAUUAUCCAAAUAAGUUCCCACCCGACUCUGAAAAGGGUCGGUGGGCACUCCUUGUACAUGCUGUGAAGCAACACGCUCUCUCUCCAUCUCUCCUUUAGCUGGCACAUUUCGACGCCGCGGUUUAGCUUGUGGUUGCUGCCCUGGAUGCGCCUCCUCCUGCUCCUCAUCUAUCGGCGGUAUAACAAAACUGUUGGGUUUUGAGCAUUCUAACACUCCUAAGUGUACAUGCAACCCUAAAUACCUUGGAUCUAUGUUUUCUCUAUUAUACAUGCAAAUAAGAACAUCCAAGGUAUUAUCCUAAUCUAGCAUACAAAACAAUGACUAUAGCAAGAUAGAAUACAUACCUCUUUGGUGUAGAAAGUCUUCAUGAAGCUUGAGUGCCUAGUGCCCCAAGUGUGACACCUCAAAUGGUUCACACAACACCAAAUACACAUGGAAUGACUUGAGAGAAAACCCACACUUCAUGAAAUCGGCUAGCCCUUCUAGUACCCUCACUAGUGCAGAUUUUGCCAAGAAUAAUAUCUUUAUAUAGUGUUACAAUUAGGGAAAACCCUAAUUGUCAUGACUUUCCAUUUCCUUGGAUCCAUGGGUUCAAAUACACCAUGGAGCAUCCAUGGAGCAUCAUAUGGGUUUUGGCCCAACUAGAUAAUCCAUGGAGCAUUAGCCCACUAUACAAGUAUGGAUGAUUUACACAAUCAACCCAUAUAUUUAAUUAGUCUUCUUUUGAUCACUUAAUUAAUCCUAGAUUAAUUCUUGACCAAUACUAAUUAAAUAAUCUCAUUAUUCUUAUUAUUAAUAUACUAGAACUUAUAAUAUAUUAAUAACCAUAAGUGUCUUAUUUCUCUCAUUAUAGUCUAUCCAAGUGCAUGAUGCCAUGCAACCCAAAUGGACCAUGCCGGGUCGGGUCAAGUCUUACCAAUUAUAGUUAUGGACUUAGACAUUAAUCCAACAGUCUCCCACUUGGAUAAGUCUAAAACUAUUAUUGCGUAUGACUUCAGGAACCAACUGGCAAUCGUAGCUCUCAAAAGCUUCUGUCGAACUCUGACCUUGUAGAUGAACUCUGACCUUUGUCAAUGACUUGUCCAUUAGAUAAGGGAUCAUAUAUUCCUCCAUUCUAGAUAUCAUAUGGACUGAGACAUGGAUUAUAAUCAUUCUCUCUGUCCAUUUGUUGUUUCCCGAUUUCCGAUUUAUGACGACUGACUAAUUGAACAAAUCAAAUCAGUCCUGGCCCGGCCGAGCACUUCCAUUUGUCAUCAUCAAAUCAUCGAGGGGCCCACAGAUAUCGCUUUUAUCCCGAAGGUAAAAGGAAUGGAUAAACUUCGACUCAUAUGGCUUGUUCUACUACUUGUUGAAUCAUACACAAAGGCACGUUUUAUAGCACCGAGUUACCAAAUGCGUUUUCGUGCAAUCAAUGUACUAUCAACUCAUAGUAACAACUCAUAUCUCUAGGUUUGAAGAAUAUAAGAUAUUAUCGUCUCAUGAUCACUCGUGAUAAAAUCCAUGAAGUGAUUCCAAUGAGCGCGGGUUGAAUCCAAUACUCAGAACUUAUGAGCACUCAUGAGUGUUGUAGCCCUUUGUCCAACACCUUAGACCUCUACAAGCCAACCCAUGACAGUCUUAAUUCAUAUCUACUUCCAACAUAUGACCGACUGUGGAUGGUUUGAAUAACUUAGUCAUUCCGGAAGAAUAACCUAGUUUAUUCGGGAAGUCAAAACAUGCAAAGUGAAACACAAUAAUAAUUGAAUCCAAUAUGGUAUCAACCCUUUGAACAUAAAUAAAACACCUUUUAUUUAUCACCAUAUGAUUACACAUUAUUCAUUGUAUACUGUUUCAGCUAUCAACUUUAUUCUUGAAUUUAAAACAAUAGUUGUCCCAUGCUCCAAGCAUGUACACUAUGUUUUCUUAAACACUAGUCAUGCCACACACCAAGUAUGCAUACUAUGUUUGUCUAUGAUCUUUACUUUGUGAACUAGAUCAAUUGAACAUAACUUCAAUGAUUCUCUUUUCACACUCCCAAAUCCUUACUGCAAAUGCAAGAAUUCCAAAUUCAUGCCAUUUACUGAAAUCUGUUAGAUUCUAAACUUAUAUGCAUUGAUCCUCUUGUAAUGAUUAUGCACAAAGUCAUAAAGACUUGACAACAAUCAUUACAGAGUAUUCCAAAGGAGAUCAACUCCUUGGAAAUAUCCUUCUUGCAUUAAGUUUCCUUAAUCUUACACAGAUUGAAAAUUCUAACUUUGAAACAUUUCCAGAUUCCAUUUUGACUAUCACUUCUGAACAAGAGUUGCCUCCUUACAGAUUAUGUCAAUAUGGUCCUUCCAGAAUUAUCACUAUACUUCCAAUUGUCCUUGAGUAACCAAUCUUUGGUAAACCUUAGAUUGUCCUCGACAAUUGUUUAAUCCUUUUAGUCAUAUCCAGUUCUAAACCUUUUCCCUUCUUAAUGCCCCAGGCAUUUGGAAAAUUUUAGAACGGAUGAAUAUAGCACAUGUAAUCGAUCCUAUAUCCGAAGCAUAUGGGACACGAUUCAUGAUGUCUCACAUAAAGACUAAACCAGUCUUUUGCUAUAACAUUUCCAUUUCAAUUUGCCAAGUUCUCAUAAUUCAGAUUAUGAAAAGGGAUGCCGUAAUCAUAAUCGAAUUUUAGAACGCAAAUAAUGGACCCAUAUACAGAAUUUCCUUAUGUUGAGCCAUUCCAACAUGAAAUUCAUAUAUAUCCUUGACUAAAUGAUUAAAACCUCACGAUCUAAGCUUAUAGAUUUGAGAUGAAGCAUAAUUUCCUCUCCCUUAAUUAUAGCAAAACAACUUUUUCCCAAUUGAAACUUUUGUUUUCUAUAAUUAACAUUGCUAACUUGCAAUACUUAUCAUAAUUAUCAUGCUCCCACUAACAUGAUGAUUAUUAGCAUAACACUUAUGCUCCCACUAGCUUUGACAUGUACUCAGAAAUCAGCUGGACAGUCUGAAAUUUAGAUUCAUACACCCUUUCCGUAGAUAGCUCACCUGUGUGUCUAAGCAAUUUCAAGAACCAUGAAAAGGGAUACCGUAAUCAUGGUCUCAAUUGCUUAGGCAUUUGCCAUUUCUCACAAGUCCAUGUUAGUGUGCCGGUUAACCACACGCGCUCCACUAACGACUUUUGAAAAUGCAAAUAACACAAUUGAUAUCUUCGUAAAAUCUACUUAGUGAAAGCGUUUCCUCACCAUCAUUUUCAUGAAUCGGAGAGAAACCUUAUGACACUUAGAUUUAUAUGGUGUAUGAGUUCCUACCCAUAUGAAUUUGUCAAACCAUAAUCACAAGACAAAGAUAAUGACAAAUCCAAAACCAUAUGGAUUGAACUCAAUCUUAACUUCUUGCCACCUGGCAGCUCAAGGGCCUGCCAUUGCUUCCAAGUUGUUAUGCAACAAACUGAGAACUCUAAGAACUCAUAUGCAAAGCCAACUUUAACUGGAAUGGGCACAGAUAUGUCAACACGAUAGGUUAUAAACCUCAAGUCGUGUGCUAGUGAAGAACUUCAGGUUUUAUUCUUGAUUAUUUCUUGAGACUUUCAAGACCUUUAAGACUCCCACUGUCCUCUUGACAUAUAAGACUCCCUUGUCAAACAUCCAAGAGAUAGUGCGGAUUCUAAUCAAGAAAAACACUUUACCCAAUUGGCCUAAGUUGGUCUUUGUUUUAUCCAAAACAUCACAACUUACCAAUUUCAAAUGUACAAGAGUAGAAAACUUUUACUCUUACAUUUGACAAGUGUUUUAAACCUUCUUUAAGACAUGUCACUCAAAUGACAAUCUUGGAGUAUGACUCUAAGACUUGUAUUGGAACGAAGUAUGACUCAUCUUCUUGAUUUAACCAUUUCAACAAUUCAAGUUCCUCUUCUUAGUCAUAAGAAUGCACUAAGAUUUCCUUAGAGAACUAAUUUUGAUAUGGUUUCUUAAUCAUUAAGAUGAUCACAAAACUGAUACUAAAGUACUCUCCCAUCUUUUCAGAUUUGAGAAACUUUUAUCCUUCUGCCUAAUUUGAUUCUUCUUAUUCGCCCUGCCAUACAUUGGAACCUUUUCCAAUGUCUCAGAGUUACACUUAAGCUUGUAAGUAUAAUCAUAUUUACUGAGCUUUAGUAAACUAUGACGAAUAGUCUUAUCAAUCUUUUGUGGUGGACUUAAUCAGUGCACAAGAAUGUGUACUCGAUCCCUUAGUCCUUUACUUGACUCACACAUCCAUGUGGCCGAGUAAUUAGUCUUAAUUUUCCAAAACUUGAAAGUUCUCAUUCAUCAUGCUAUACAACUUGCAUGAUUCCAAGUUCCGGUCCAAUUGAAACUUGGGUGAUGAGAAUCUUUCCUUAUUUGGUAAAUCUAGACAUUACCACAAAUGAAAGAAUCAAUUUCAUAUUUCCACUCUUGCUCUUAAUGGAAUCAUAUAAGCAACAAUUUUUCCUCAAAAGCCAUUGUAAGGAUAUUUUAAAAUAAAUAAAAUCAAAAAAUUUUUCUUUUAUUUUAAAACUUUGCGGAAAAACUUAUCCUUACAAUCCAUAUGAAAACUUGUUGUUAUCUAUUCCUAAGCAAUAUCUCAUAACUCCUAAGAAGUUGCUCAAGAAUCCGAUCUUCAAACUAUGCGAUAGAAAUCCAUCUACGCCAUCAGAUUCAGCAUAUUCUUUCUUUAAGUUUCUUCACUUUUCUUUGAUUCUUAAAACAUCACCAUGUGACCCAGUCACAUCAUGUAUCAGGAAUCUCAGAAUAGAAACUUAACAGAGUUAGAUAGUGGACUUUACCUGAAGUAGAGUCAAACUUAUUGACUUUAACAUCCUUAGGUAAAUUUGGCAGCUUCGCAACCAAUGCCCCUUCCUUUGGCAAUAUAAACAUAUGGACCCUUUGAUAAUGGUACACGGGACUAUCACAGACUUAGCUUUUCUCUUUACCAUUUGGUCAACCGAGUUGACUAUGGCCGAUCCCUUUCCAUUGGGAAGAGAAUGCUUUACUGGAUAUCCAAUGUCAUCAUUGUCAAUGUCCAUAAAGUUUUAGGAAGUUGAUCUUAGCAAAUAGAUAAGAUCAUUAAGGGUCUUGUCAUAGUCUGUUUCAUAGGUGUCCCAAAGGAACUCACUAUGUGACUUAGAAAGUGAUUGAACCACCAACUUUCUCAAGACUUUGACACCCAACUCUCCCGGCUUGUCAAUAUGUGACUACAUCUCCAAGAUGUGAUCACACCUAGACCUUGCCUUGCCAAUAGGGCUUGAGUGACCUUAAACUUUUCAAGAACUUGUGGGUUAGGGAGAAUAAUUGGAGGAGGUGAAAGAAGUAUGAUUUCCAAAGGACAUCAUCUUCAUUUAGGAAACCUUGUUUCACUAGAUUUGGGAAGAUCAUAGGUGUCUAUUACAGACAUCUUUUGGGAGAUAUUCAAGAUAGUUGAUUUAAAGUCCUUAAUAUGACACCCAAUAUGAAAUAUUAAGGCUAGGACCCAACAAACUAUUUUAUAACUUAGAAGAGGUAUGCCGUAAUCCAAGCUAUAAAAUAUUUGAAGGUAGGUGAAUGACGAUUCACCAAUUUCCACCAAGAUAAACGAAAUGUAUUAUUAGGUUUUAAUUGGUUUUGAAACUCCUAGAUCUUUGAGAUUCAUUGAACUGUUCAAAGGCAUGUUUCAAUCUCGAGUGUGCCCUUCAGGUUUUGUGACUGGGAUGCCGAGGAUCACAAAACAAGGUGUGAAGUAACCAUGCAAAUCACUUGGUACCCUUAAUAAAUUACCCCUCAAUCGAUGUGCCGGUUAACCACACACGCUCCAUCGAUACUAUGAUAAAUAUUAAGUCACCCUUUACCUACCUUGUUAAGUCCAAGUUAGUGUGCCGGUUAACCACACACGCUCCACUAACGACUUAGACAAAGUGUAAAGUGUAAUUUCAUGGAUUAGCACCUUAUUCACAUUUUUCCUAAGUAACUAAGAUUGGGUAUUAUUAAGAGUUUAGUUACUUAGUAUUAUCAUUAAUACUUUUAAUGAAGGGAGAAUUCUAGUCCUGUCAAACCCGUUCGGCUAACGACCCUCCACCAGUCAAGCAAGCGGUGGGUGAGAGUGGACACCCAUUAAGUUGCCAUUUUAUAGGCAACAACCUUAUACCCACCUUAUAGACCGGCUUCGUGAAUGAGGCGUACUAGCGGUAAGACUGACUUUACUCUUAUACAUAUAUAUAUUAUUAACUUAUAAUAUUAUAAAGUAUAAGGGUUGAAUUUUAACUUUUAAAAUUCUAAGGGCUAACUUGGAAUUAAAGUAUUCAUAAGUGAAAACUUUACAAAUUCCAAAACUUGAGGGCAAGUUUUGAAACUAUUCAAAACUAAUUAAUUCCAUAACUUAUGUGUUUAAAGUAGUUUUAAUCCAAAAACUCUUCAAGUUCCAUAACUUGAGGACAAGUUAUGGAAGACUUUAAACUAAUAAAAGAAUUAACUUUUCUUUAUUUUAUAACUUAUGGAAUUAAUUAAGGUUACACUUUUUUUUUUUUUAUUUUAUUUUAUUAAAUGAAGAGACUCUUGGUCCUCCAUAACUUGAGGACAAGUUAUGGAGUCAUAAAACCAUUUAAUUAGAACUAGACUCUUCAUUUUUGUAACCUUUGCCAAUUUUUAUGAGUUUUAUGAUUCUUAAAUGUGACUUUUCAUAUAACUUGAGGACAAGUUACAAAAACACAUUUUAGAAUCAAUUCUUAGAUUAAUUUGGAUUAAAACCAACUAUCACAUAAUUUUAUUCAUUAAUCUAAAUUCACUCAUAAAACAAGGUAACACAAAAAACUUUUGGUGAUCCAUAACUUAUUCUUAAGUUAUGGAAUCCUUUAAAACAUUAACACCAAAUUUUGUAACUCCAAAAAAACUUUGAAUCAAUUUUUUUUUUAAAACCUUUUCAUAUCCAUAACUUAUGGAGGUUUCAAAAAAUAAAACUCUUUAGAUCAAACUUUUAAAACUAAUAAAAUAAUCAUAUUAUUUUAUCUUUUAUUAAAUUUGACCUAAUUCAACUCAUAAAGCAAAUUAUUCAAAUUUUACAAAUAAUUAGUUUUUCACAAGAACAAGUAAUUAUCUUAAAAUUUGACAAACUUCAUGUUUUUUUUUUUUUUUUUUUUCAACUUUGAAAAUAAAAUAUUUGCAUCAAUAUAACAGAAAACAACCCGUGGCUCUGAUACCACUGUUGGGUUUUGAGCAUUCUAACACUUCCUAAGUGUACAUGCAACCCUAAAUACCUUGGAUCUAUGUUUUCUCUAUUAUACAUGCAAAUAAGAACUUCCAAGGUAUUAUCCUAAUCUAGCAUACAAAACAAUAACUAUAGCAAGAUAGAAUACAUACCUCUUUGGUGUAGAAAGUCUUCAUGAAGCUUGAGUGC
rnacentral:lncRNA from 1 species